GACGAACGCUGGCGGCGUGCCUAAUACAUGCAAGUCGAACGAGAGCGACCGGUGCUUGCACUGGUCAAUCUAGUGGCGAACGGGUGAGUAACACGUGGGUAACCUGCCCAUCAGAGGGGGAUAACAUCCGGAAACGGAUGCUAAAACCGCAUAGGUCUUCGAGCCGCAUGGCUUGAAGAGGAAAAGAGGCGCAAGCUUCUGCUGCUGGAUGGACCCGCGGUGCGUUAGCUAGUUGGUGAGGUAACGGCUCACCAAGGCCGUGAUGCAUAGCCGACCUGAGAGGGUGAUCGGCCACAUUGGGACUUGGACACGGCCCAUACUCCUACGGGAGGCAGCAGUAGGGAAUCUUCCGCAAUAGACGCAAGUCUGACGGAGCGACGCCGAGUGAGUGAAGAAGGUUUUCGGAUCGUAAAACUCCGUUGUUAGUGAAGAACAAGUGCUAGAGUAACUGUUAGCUCCUUGACGGUAUCUAACCAGAAAGCCACGGCUAACUACGUG
rnacentral:rRNA from 1 species